AGAGUUUGAUCCUGGCUCAGGAUGAACGCUAGCUACAGGCUUAACACAUGCAAGUCGCGGGGCAGCAUGGGGGUUGCUUGCAACCCCCGAUGGCGACCGGCGCACGGGUGAGUAACGCGUAUCCAACCUGCCCUUCACCACGGGAUAACCCGGCGAAAGUCGGACUAAUACCGUAUGUUGUCCAUUGACGGCAUCCGAUUUGGACGAAAGGCUUAGCGGUGAGGGAUGGGGAUGCGUCCGAUUAGCUUGACGGCGGGGUAACGGCCCACCGUGGCUACGAUCGGUAGGGGUUCUGAGAGGAAGGUCCCCCACACUGGAACUGAGACACGGUCCAGACUCCUACGGGAGGCAGCAGUGAGGAAUAUUGGUCAAUGGGCGUAAGCCUGAACCAGCCAAGUAGCGUGCAGGAUGACGGCCCUAUGGGUUGUAAACUGCUUUUAUGCGGGGAUAAAGUGGCCCACGUGUGGGUUUUUGCAGGUACCGCAUGAAUAAGGACCGGCUAAUUCCGUGCCAGCAGCCGCGGUAAUACGGAAGGUCCGGGCGUUAUCCGGAUUUAUUGGGUUUAAAGGGAGCGUAGGCCGCGCCUUAAGCGUGUUGUGAAAUCCGGGUGCUCAACAUCCGGCUUGCAGCGCGAACUGGGGCGCUUGAGUGCGCUGAAAGUAGGCGGAAUUCGUGGUGUAGCGGUGAAAUGCUUAGAUAUCACGAGGAACUCCGAUUGCGAAGGCAGCCUACUGUAGCGCUACUGACGCUGAUGCUCGAAAGCGUGGGUAUCGAACAGGAUUAGAUACCCUGGUAGUCCACGCGGUAAACGAUGGAUGCUCGUUGUCGGCCCUUCGGGUCGGUGACCAAGCGAAAGCGUUAAGCAUCCCACCUGGGGAGUACGCCGGCAACGGUGAAACUCAAAGGAAUUGACGGGGGCCCG
rnacentral:rRNA from 1 species